rnacentral:tRNA from 2 species
GGCGGUGUAGCUCAGUGGCAGAGCAGUCGGCUCAUACCCGAUAUGUCUGGGGUUCGAAUCCCUACACCGCCA